rnacentral:rRNA from 1 species
AAGCAGUGGGAGCACAGGUUUACCUGUGUGACUGCGUACCUUUUGUAUAAUGGGUCAGCGACUUAUAUUCUGUAGCAAGGUUAACCGUAUAGGGGAGCCGUAGGGAAACCGAGUCUUAACCGGGCGUUAAGUUGCAGGGUAUAGACCCGAAACCCGGUGAUCUAGCCAUGGGCAGGUUGAAGGUUGGGUAACACUAACUGGAGGACCGAACCGACUAAUGUUGAAAAAUUAGCGGAUGACCUGUGGCUGGGGGUGAAAGGCCAAUCAAACCGGGAGAUAGCUGGUUCUCCCCGAAAGCUAUUUAGGUAGCGCCUCGUGAAUUCAUCUCCGGGGGUAGAGCACUGUUUCGGCUAGGGGGCCAUCCCGGCUUACCAACCCGAUGCAAACUGCGAAUACCGGAGAAUGUUAUCACGGGAGACACACGGCGGGUGCUAACGUCCGUCGUGAAGAGGGAAACAACCCAGACCGCCAGCUAAGGUCCCAAAGUCAUGGUUAAGUGGGAAACGAUGUGGGAAGGCCCAGACAGCCAGGAUGUUGGCUUAGAAGCAGCCAUCAUUUAAAGAAAGCGUAAUAGCUCACUGGUCGAGUCGGCCUGCGCGGAAGAUGUAACGGGGCUAAACCAUGCACCGAAGCUGCGGCAGCGA